ensembl:lncRNA
GGAAGAUUGAAGUAUUCACAAACAAAAAACACAUGUCAGUGCACAUUCAGCGCACUGGAUCAUCCAGACCUCUUAGGAUGGACGUGGGCCUCGGCUUUGCUACUGUGGCUGUGACGGACGAGAAGCGAAUUGGUCCAUCAGCUUUCCAACAACAACAACAACAGACAGUGAAUGGCGAGUAAAGUACAGCGAAGACUUGGUUAGCGCGCUGAUUAGUCGACAGGCUGUGCGGUUCGGUCAAUCAAGUACGCCUCAAAACUGCUCAUUUAAGGCUCUCGGUUCGAGAUGACGUUUUCAGCAAUCCCCACCGGAGAGAACACAUCCAAGAAGAGAUCUCAUGUUUCUAUCUUUUGUUGUUGUAACACGAAGAUGAGACCAGGGAAUUUCCUCCAUACGUGUCAAAAUCAGCUGAAGACAGCAUCCACAAACAUUCCCACAACCCUUUCGCUUUCCGGAGGAGCGGCGGGGGCCAGAGGUUGGAGGAGGACCUGUCUGAAGCGUCACUACCUCCAUUCCUCAUGGCUACAUCUGCCAGAGCCUCCUCCCACCUGUCUGAUGCUGCUUAGAUUUAUGUGGCUGUAUAGGAAGGAGGCCAAUCCAGUGUGCCAGGCCACGUGUAGGCUUCCCUUUACGCUGACAGUUGUGUGUAUGAUACUGUAGCCGGCUCCCAGUGAGGCUCAGCCCACUAUAUCUGAAAUCUGUCAUAAGUGAAAGCUUGAAAAGGUUAGGACAGUUCAGGGAAGAUAAAUGGUGAAUUGGGAGGACAGCUCCUUCUCCCACUACGCACAGAUGCAGAGUUCCUCCCCGUACGCGCUACACAACAGGCGGGCCGGACCGUGCAAGUUUCUACCGAGCAGGCCGUUCACUUAGCGCAGGAAGAGGACUCUCACUGUGGCUCCGGGCUUCGCCUUCCAUCUCUCAAGAGGAAGAGCACUAAUGGCUUUUGAAAGCCAGGAUCGAAGGAACUCAUGAGGCUCUGCAGCAUGAGACAAGAGGAGGAAGAGCAUUAUUAAUCCUUGUUCAUCUGAAUACACAACGCUCUGUGCUGCACAACGCUCUGUGCUGCACAGCGCGCAGCCUCCAGACCAGCAUCCUGCUGCCUCUCGUUAACUGAUUGUCGAUGUUGUUCUUUGUGGACACAGACCUAAAUAUUUAGGUUAUGAAGUUAAGAAGUGGGCUGAAUUUACAGCACAGCCAAAAAGUUUUUCAGACACAUCACAAUUUCAGACAAGGAAAGAAACAUCCAGUAAAAUUAUAUUGCUACAAUGAACUGUCUCCUGUUGCAAGCUUACAGAAACCUCACCAAAAGAGUUUCCAUUUUUCAAUUUAAGGUCUUUUACAUGGAUGUCAAUAUAUAUUGUUAUUGUCACGAACACACGCGCACAAAAUUGGAAUAUUACAAUGCAAAAAUCGUCAUUUCGAUUUACAAACAAAAUUUAGCCAAUCACAUUAUCUGGAACUGGUUGUGUUGGGCAAAAAUGGAUCCAAUACCAACCUCCUUUUCAGUCUAUGACAUCAAACUUUGUUGCACAGCGAAUACCAGAUCGACCACUUCCAUUCUUCCCUUUCACAA